UACAGAGGGUGCGAGCGUUAAUCGGAAUUACUGGGCGUAAAGCGCACGUAGGUGGCUUGGCAAGUCGGGUGUGAAAUCCCCGGGCUCAACCUGGGAACUGCAUUCGAGACUGCCUUGCUAGAGUAUGGGAGAGGGAAGUGGAAUUUCCUGUGUAGCGGUGAAAUGCGUAGAUAUCGGAAGGAACAUCAGUGGCGAAGGCGACUUCCUGGACCAAUACUGACACUCAGGUGCGAAAGCGUGGGGAGCAAACAGG
rnacentral:rRNA from 1 species